rnacentral:rRNA from 1 species
UACGGAGGGUGCAAGCGUUAUCCGGAUUCACUGGGUUUAAAGGGUGCGUAGGUGGGCAGGUAAGUCAGUGGUGAAAUCUCCGGGCUUAACCCGGAAACUGCCAUUGAUACUAUCUGUCUUGAAUACCGUGGAGGUGAGCGGAAUAUGUCAUGUAACGGUGAAAUGCUUAGAUAUGACAUAGAACACCAAUUGCGAAGGCAGCUCACUACACGAAUAUUGACUCUGAGGCACGAAAGCGUGGGGAUCAAACAGG